rnacentral:rRNA from 1 species
UACGUAGGGGGCUAGCGUUGUCCGGAAUCAUUGGGCGUAAAGCGCGUGUAGGCGGUCCGGUAAGUCCGCUGUGAAAGUCGGGGGCUCAACCCUCGGAUGCCGGUGGAUACUGUCGGGCUUGAGUACGGAAGAGGCGAGUGGAAUUCCUGGUGUAGCGGUGAAAUGCGCAGAUAGUCAGGAGGAACACCAAUUGCGAAGGCAGACUCGCUGGGACGUUAGCUGACGCUGAGACGCGAAGCGUGGGGAGCGAACAGGAUUGAGACUACC